AUAAUGCGCUAUAAAACAAUAUGGCUGCGCCCAUGUGAAAUUUAUAGACAAAAAUGAUUCUUCUUUUUUGACGUGAUUACGGAUAUAUUUUAGUUCUUCUUCGUUAAAAGGUAAAUAAUAGACAAAAUAAUAGAUAUAUUAUUUAUGUAUUUGUGUUACAUACAUUUUGAAUAAAGUCUGAAUAAUAUUAACACAGCUCAGUUGUAAACAUGAUAAAUGCGAAUUCGACAACUGGUAAGAUAAGUUUAAAACAUAAAUUAUAGCCAAAGAAAACUUUUCGGUAUUUAAUAGCCCUGGUAGAGAGAAUUUAUGUAAAUGAUGUCUUGCAGCAAUAAUUUGUGAACUAAGAUGAGUAUUUUAUCUCAAGUUCAAAUUGAUGAUUUGAUGUUAACAUUUUUUAUUGUAAUGUACCGUGGAUAUCAGCUUGGGUAGCUCAGUAGUGGAGCUCCUGACUAGUGUUGCAGGGGUCCUGGGAUUGAUUCCCCAUCCAUCCAUAUAUUUUCAAUGGAUCAAUAUGCUCGUUCCUCCUUUCCUAUUAGAGUAAAUUAGCAAUUAUUGUCUCUUGUGUUGUUACCGGUAGUAAAUAUUUCUUUUUCAGAUCAAUAUUGGUUGAAUAACCAUUCUCCAUUAUUUUCUUCCUAUUAUCAAAUCAAUUUGGGUAUAAUGGAUGACAAAGUGGACAGACUUAGAUCAGUUCAAAUAAAAUUAAUGGAGAUUUUGGACUUUUUAUCUAAUUAUCUUCCACUUGUGAAUUGUCAUUCAAAUGAUUUUAUUCUCAAUAAUCACUGGGAUAAAUUUCUUACGGAACCCAUCAGAAAGGAACUUGAUUCAUUAAGUGCAUGCGACCUAGUGUCACUCUUAAAUCAAACCAAGACUAUUGAGAAUAAGAGACCAGACAAGAAAUUAACAAAAGAGUUUGAUCCAAGCCUGUGGAAAUUUAAAUGUGACUGUCUCGAGAAAGCUUCAAACAGUACUGACAGAAGGGGUGAUAUUUAUUCAUCUGAGAUGCAGACAAUUCCUCCUAAUUGGGUUCAUGAAAACCUACAAUCCUUGUUACAAGAUGCACAGAGGUGCUCUCUUCAAAAUUCAGACAUUCUUUCAAGUGUAGAGGAUUUGGAUAGUGACAUGAAAACUCUUCCCCAAGAUCGCGUCUUUAUCUCCACAUUUAUGAAUCAUAAGAAAACUCAUGAAGUAGAGGUGAUGGGAGAACUGUGUUACAAAUUGUCUCGGAAACAUGACAUUGAUGUGGUGAGUAGCUUUCAGACCCCAAUUGUGUGUAUAACUUGAGGUGUAAAAUAUAUGCAGCCUUGGUUUUUAAUUACUGUGAAAUCAUUAAAAUUAAUGGAGAAGGACCUAAUUUUUGUAGAUGGUUAAUUUUUUAAAAACGAUAGGGAGGAAAUGCUGCUGGUUUAUGUACAUACAAUAAAAAAUAAUUUGUUUCAUAAUUUGUUGGAAUGUUUAGUUUUGGGUGAGGGAUACCUACAAAGUCAACAAAAAUUUGGCCGCCAUGAAUUCUGAUGAUUCCACAGUCAUUUUAAAUAUGUAAAUUUAUUUCUGAAAUUGAGGAAUGACUUCUUCCUCUUUUUUACCUGCUCAGGUGGUGGAUCUAGGGAGUGGAAAGGGUUACCUCAGUACACACCUGGCUUUUCAGCACAAACUCUCUGUGAUUGGGGUAGACGCUCAGACCAUCAACACAAAGGGGGCCUCAAAGAGGGCGGAUAUCUUGUCUCGACAGUGGGAGGGACUUACUCGCAAUGAAAUUUUACGAGCUCAAAAUACAAUACCUGGAAAGUUAGAAGAAAUCAGAAAAUGGCAAUACAAAUUCUGAAAAAGAUGAAAGAUUAGAUUUAAAUCUGUCUUCUCAAAUUCAAGAAACUUCAUGUAUUCCAACAAAGAAAAUAUUGAGUGGUCAAGUGGAGGCAAAUGAUUCAGAUGUUGUGAAAGUCAAGGAAGAAUCAAAAUUUGGUAGCAGCGACAGAGCAUCAGUAGAGAGAACUGUAAAAAAGAACACAAAAUCUUCAGCCCUGAAAGCUAAUCAUUUCCCUAUUACCACCUACAUCAACAUCGACUCUGAUCUCAGUGAAAUAGUGAGAGAGGCCCUGACAUUGAAGUCCUCACAACCAGAAACUGGAUCAACAUCUGUAGAAAAUACAGGUGAAAUGUCUACAGAACCCACAGUUACAGCAGGUCUACCUGUUGAUUCAGGUUCUACAGAGAGCUCAGCAAUAAAGGAGAAGUCCAGACUAAUGCUGACAGGACUUCAUACUUGUGGUGCUUUGGGAUCAAACAUCUUGAGAUUAUUUGUAAACUCUCCCAAUGUCAAAGUUUUAUGUAACGUGGCAUGCUGUUACCACCUCAUGAGCGAGAAGUUUGUUGCCAGCCCAUUUGAAGAUAAAGAAGAUGUUAGUGAAGAGGCAGGUUUUCCUCUGAGUGAAUUCUUACAGAGGAAUACAGUAGGAAUAGGGAGGCAGGCCAGAAACCUUGCUUCCCAAUCUGUUAACAGGCGCGCACAAGACACUGAGGUGCUUGCUAAACAGUUCCCUAGGAUGCUGCUCCAGGUGAUACUGCGGGAUCAGUUGGGUUAUGUGAGGAGUGACUGGAAAGGACUGCGUAAACUGGAUCAAAAGUCUCAGGGAAUGUUCGACUAUGUGACAAGGGCUUUCAGAAAAUUGGGAUUGCCAUCUGAUGGAGUAAGUUUAACUGACCUGUUGGUAUUAAACAUAAUCUGUCUAGAAAAAAAACUAGUUGUAGCACAUGAAUAUGUAUUGAAAUGCAGUGUAUUUUUUCACUUCUCUUGUUGAAGAUGUUUUACAUGUUAUUGCAUUUUCUUGUAUUAUAUUUCUUUUGGGAGUAGAAUAGCAAAAAAAAUUUAUACCCUGUAGAUGCAUACUUUAAUCGACAGAGUAUAUUUUGAACAGAUCACUGAGGAGCUAAUUGAUUCCUACUGUCAGAAGUAUGAGGACCAGAAGAAGAAAUUUGCUGCAUUCUUUCAGUUAAAAACUGUCCUGGCCCCAUGCAUUGAAGCUGUAGUUGUUCUGGACCGGCUUUGUUUCCUUUUGGAGCAGGAAUGUGUACAAGAUGUCAAGCUGAUACAGCUCUUUGAUCCUGUUACCUCCCCAAGGUGCUAUGGAAUUGUUUCUGUGAAAAAAUAAAAAUCACUGUGGACUUGGGUGAAUUUAAAAAUCUGAAUUCUUCAGUCAUCUAGUCACAAAUACAUGUACUUGUUGAAACAAUACUUGUUAUAAUAAAAUAUGCUGUAUUCUG
rnacentral:misc_RNA from 1 species